AUUGAACGCUGGCGGCAUGCUUUACACAUGCAAGUCGAACGGUAACAGGCCUUCGGGUGCUGACGAGUGGCGAACGGGUGAGUAAUGCAUCGGAACGUGCCCAACUCGUGGGGGAGUAACGUAGCGAAAGUUACGCUAAUACCGCAUAAGCCCUGAGGGGGAAAGGUGGGGGACCGGCGAAGGCCUCACGCGAAUGGAGCGGCCGAUGUCAGAUUAGCUAGUUGGUGAGGUAAAGGCUCACCAAGGCGACGAUCUGUAGCGGGUCUGAGAGGAUGAUCCGCCACACUGGGACUGAGACACGGCCCAGACUCCUACGGGAGGCAGCAGU
rnacentral:rRNA from 1 species